AUUGAACGCUGGCGGCAGGCCUAACACAUGCAAGUCGAACGAGUGGCGGACGGGUGAGUAAUGUCUGGGACACUGCGUGAUGGAGGGGGAUAACUACUGGACACGGUAUCUAAUACCGCAUACAAUCGUAUGUGCCCAGAGGGGAUUAGCUAGUAGGUGGGGUAAGGGCGCACCUAGGAGACGAUCCCUAGCUGGUCUGAGAGGAUUACCAGCCACAUUGGAACGGAGACACGGGCCAGACUCCUACGGGAGGCAGCAGGGGGGAAUAUUGCACAAUGGGCGCAAGCCUGAUGCAGCCAGGCCGCGUGUAUGAAGAAGGCCUUCGGGUUGUAAAGUACUUUCAGCGGGGAGGCGUUACCCGCAGAAGAAGCACCGGCUAACUCCGUGCCAGCAGCCGCGGUAAUUC
rnacentral:rRNA from 1 species